GAUGAACGCUGGCGGCGUGCCUAAUACAUGCAAGUCGAGCGAACAGAUAAGGAGCUUGCUCCUUUGACGUUAGCGGCGGACGGGUGAGUAACACGUGGGUAACCUACCUAUAAGACUGGAAUAACUCCGGGAAACCGGGGCUAAUGCAGGAUAACAUGUUGAACCGCAUGGUUCUACAGUGAAAGGCGGCUUUGCUGUCACUUAUAGAUGGACCCGCGCCGUAUUAGCUAGUUGGUGAGGUAACGGCUCACCAAGGCAACGAUACGUAGCCGACCUGAGAGGGUGAUCCGCCACACUGGAACUGAGACACGGUCCAGACUCCUACGGGAGGCAGCAGUAGGGAAUCUUCCGCAAUGCGCGAAUGCCUGACGGAGCAACGCCGCGUGAGUGAUGAAGGUCUUCGGAUCGUAAAACUCUGUUAUUAGGGAAGAACAAAUGCGUAAGUAACUGUGCGCGUCUUGACGGUACCUAAUCAGAAAGCCACGGCUAACUACGUG
rnacentral:rRNA from 1 species